GACGAACGCUGGCGGCGUGCCUAACACAUGCAAGUCGAGCGAUGAAGUUCUUCGGAACGGAUUAGCGGCGGACGGGUGAGUAACGCGUGAGCAAUCUGCCUUACACAAAGGGAUAGCCUCGGGAAACUGGGAUUAAUACCAUAUGACACUUGGUAAUCGCAUGAGGACCAAGUCAAAGAUUUUAUCGGUGUAAGAUGAGCUCGCGUCUGAUUAGCUAGUUGGUGGGGUAAAGGCCUACCAAGGCGACGAUCAGUAGCCGGCCUGAGAGGGUGAACGGCCACACUGGAACUGAGACACGGUCCAGACUCCUACGGGAGGCAGCAGUGGGGAAUAUUGCACAAUGGGCGCAAGCCUGAUGCAGCGACGCCGCGUGAGCGAAGAAGGUUUUCGGAUCGUAAAGCUCUGUCCUCUCGGGAAGAAAAAAUAGACGGUACCAGAGGAGGAAGCCCCGGCUAACCUACGUCGCCAGCACGCCGCGGUAAACGACGACGAGUA
rnacentral:rRNA from 1 species